UUCCUAAAAUCUUUUUCUCACACCCUUUACAUGCAUUUUUGUUAUGAUUGAGCCUCAUGGCUCUGCUACUGGCAGACGUGGGCGUAAGACUCCUCGAGAGUCAGAUACUCUCGAGGAGCGAGAAAGAAAGAGGCUGCGAGAUAUCUUUGCAGAACCAUCUGACGAGGAGUCUUUUGAGGGGUUUACGGAGAGAAUGGAGGAAGAGCUGGUUAGCUCGGAAGAGGAUGAGAUGGAUUGGACUCGGCUUUGACCUUCCGUCGUCUUCUUGACGGACGCCAUCUGCUACUCUGGAUUUACGGACUGAACUGACUACGGGCUCGGAUUCUCCUACCUGGACUUGGUGAACUACAAACGUCUGCUUCUGCCUAUCGACCUUCGGAAAGAACUGGGACUAUGCUACUGCUUCAAUCCUCGGCUGUUGUGUUUAUAUUGGGAAUUUGCCUGCUGUGUGGAGGAGUGACUUCUAAGUUACUCAAAACAUAGUGCUGGCAGCAGAGAGGCAUCUGCUGCCAAUUAGUUACAUUCUUUUGAACUCUUUGUUCCCCAGCUUCUGUUUGUUUAUUCCCAGGCUGAAGCAAGCUGUUUUGAUUUUACCCGGAUUAAACUCCGGUUUAAUCCGGUUUAUCUUUUGAACGUUUUUCUUGCCCCUUUUUGCUUUUUAAGGCUAAUGUUGCCUAGCCCUUGUCUUUUACGGGCAUUUUGAGUUCUGUAAAUCCAAUAAACUCUGUUAUCUUUGA